GACGAACGCUGGCGGCGUGCCUAAUACAUGCAAGUAGAACGCUGAAGAGAGGAGCUUGCUCUUCUUGGAAGAGUUGCGAACGGGUGAGUAACGCGUAGGUAACCUGCCUUGUAGCGGGGGAUAACUAUUGGAAACGAUAGCUAAUACCGCAUAACAAUGGGUGACCCAUGUCAUUCAUUUGAAAGGGGCAACUGCUCCACUACAAGAUGGACCUGCGUUGUAUUAGCUAGUAGGUGAGGUAACGGCUCACCUAGGCGACGAUACAUAGCCGACCUGAGAGGGUGAUCGGCCACACUGGGACUGAGACACGGCCCAGACUCCUACGGGAGGCAGCAGUAGGGAAUCUUCGGCAAUGGGGGCAACCCUGACCGAGCAACGCCGCGUGAGUGAAGAAGGUUUUCGGAUCGUAAAGCUCUGUUGUAAGUCAAGAACGAGUGUGAGAGUGGAAAGUUCACACUGUGACGGUAGCUUACCAGAAAGGGACGGCUAACUACGUGCCAGCAGCCGCGGUAAUACGUAGGUCCCGAGCGUUGUCCGGAUUUAUUGGGCGUAAAGCGAGCGCAGGCGGUUUGAUAAGUCUGAAGUUAAAGGCUGUGGCUCAACCAUAGUUCGCUUUGGAAACUGUCAAACUUGAGUGCAGAAGGGGAGAGUGGAAUUCCAUGUGUAGCGGUGAAAUGCGUAGAUAUAUGGAGGAACACCGGUGGCGAAAGCGGCUCUCUGGUCUGUAACUGACGCUGAGGCUCGAAAAGCGUGGGGAGCAAACAGG
rnacentral:rRNA from 1 species